rnacentral:rRNA from 1 species
UACGGAGGGUGCGAGCGUUGUCCGGAAUCACUGGGCGUAAAGGGCGCGUAGGCGGCCUGAUAAGUAGGGGGUGAAAUCCUGCGGCUUAACCGCAGGGCUGCCUUCUAAACUGUCGGGCUCGAGCACAGUAGAGGCAGGUGGAAUUCCCGGUGUAGCGGUGGAAUGCGUAGAGAUCGGGAAGAACAUCGGUGGCGAAGGCGGCCUGCUGGGCUGUUGCUGACGCUGAGGCGCGACAGCGUGGGGAGCAAACAGG